rnacentral:tRNA from 1 species
UAAGGGUUAAAGCCCCUUCAUUUCCU